AAGGUCUGUCGCAGAUCUCUCCCUUCCCCUGGAGUGAUCGACCGGAACCAACAGGCUUCUCCCCGAGCCCGGUUCCCGAGCCCCGUAGGCCCCCCCUGCCUACGGGGCUUUUUU
rnacentral:sRNA from 1 species